rnacentral:rRNA from 1 species
CCUGAAGAGAUUUGGGAGUGCUCGAAAGAGAACCUGCACACAGGUGCUGCAUGGCUGUCGUCAGCUCGUGUCGUGAGAUGUUGGGUUAAGUCCCGCAACGAGCGCAACCCUUGCCAUUAGUUGCUACGAAAGGGGCACUCUAAUGGGGACUGCCGGUGGACAAAACCGGAGGAAGGUGGGGAUGACGUCAAGUCCUCAUGGCCCUUAUAGGUGGGGCUACACACGUCAUACAAUGGCCGGUACAGAGGGUAGCCAACCCGCGAGGGGGAGCCAAUCCCACAAAGCCAGUCGUAGUCCGGAUCGUAGUCUGCAACUCGACUACGUGAAGUCGGAAUCGCUAGUAAUCGUGGAUCAGAAUGUCACGGUGAAUACGUUCCCGGGUCUU